rnacentral:misc_RNA from 1 species
GGAAAGAGGCAAUCAAUGAUGAAAUGGAUUCAUUAUUAUUUAAUAAUACAUGGGUUCUAGUUGAUUUGCCACCUGGUUCUAAACCAAUAGGAUGUAAAUGGGUUUUCAGAAGAAAAUAUAACACAGAUGGAUCGAUUCAAACUUUUAAAGCUAGAUUGGUUGCAAAGGGUUUUAAACAAAAAGAGGGAAUUGACUACUUUGAUACAUAUGCACCAGUGGCUAGAAUAACAUCUAUUAGAGUACUUUUAUCUUUAGCAUCAAUAUAUAAUUUAUAUGUACAUCAAAUGGAUGUUAAGACAGCCUUUCUAAAUGGUGACUUAGAAGAAGAAGUAUA